CAUCGGAGAUGGUUUUGGCCAAGAAGACGUGGGUCAUGGAAAGUGUGAUGUCAGUGUCACGGGAUAAGCAUUCUCGUACUUUUAUGUUGUUCUUAUCUUCCCACUUCCCACUUCCCACUUUUGUCUUCUUCUUUCUUAUCAAUAAUUUGUUUUCAAAAUUAAAGAGAUUAAAUCUUCUGCGACUCCCGAGGCUGAAUCAGAGUGAUGCACUAUAGUCAUCUCUUUCAGUGGCAGAUUUGUUGAAGGCUGGUUUUGAAUUUACCAAAGUCUGGUAUUAUUUUGUAAGAAGAAAAGCAAGGUCUGCUUAUCUGUUGCACGUGGCAUAUAAGGACAACCACAGAUCACGUUGCUUCGUUAGCUACUGUACAAAAAGCUGGAGAGCAGUCACGUUCGUUCGCCUACUUUCGUUGAAUCUAAAAUUAUUCACGUCAACGCUAUUCAUAUAUGCUUUCAUUUAGAUGCCAUCUCCACCUUUCUCUAUGCAUUUUUACACUUUGAAAACCUAAAAUAAUGGAGUUUCCAUUUUCGUAGCAAUAUGUUUUGCAGAAUGUGCUACAUGCUUCAUUUGUGUAAUUGUUAGUUUGUUUCCACAAUCUAUAUUCCAAAUUAAUGAGUAUCAUUCGCGUAUUAUAUGAAUAUAAAACCCCGAAUGAGAUCUUAAAGUAGUGUUUUUUUUAAUUAUUGAAAUAUACUAUUUAGUUAGUAAAUGAAAUUAACAAGUUAUUCAAUAAUAAUCAUGAAUAUGUUUACAGAAAAUGAUUGAUUACUCGGUCUGAAUUUCUUAAUAAAAGCAUCAUAAAAGUAAACACCACAUGAAACAUAAAGCCAACAUGCAAAGGUUAACGGGAUUUUGGAUUGUCGAGGCUAAUUGAAUAAUGUUUACAUGGGCACCACCGUACCAGAGGCUAAUAAUGAGUAAAUUAGUUAGCAUUGUUAGGAAAUGACAACGUGCAAUUAUCAGGGAAUCUUAAUUAUAUGCGUACGGAUUCGAGCAUCUUAUAGUCUACGAAAAUAAACCCUUUAUACCAGUGACGUUAUUGUAUAAGGCACACUGGUCGGAUUCGUUGAUGUAUAUAGUUAGAUUGCUUUUUUGUCGGAUGCAGUAAUUAGGUCGUGGGGUUCACAAUUAGAUUAUAGCAAUUAGUUCUCUGGGAUUGAGAAGUGGUAAGGAUCAACUGUGUGGCUAAAGACAGCCGAUCGGAUUUUGCUUUAUUUAUCUCUUCAACAAAAAAAGGUCCUGUCAGAUUGUGUAACAGAGAGGGAUCAUAUUCAGUACAUCAAAUAGUGUUGUUUAUAUAUAUACAUAUUUUCCGUUGGAUAUAAUGUAUAUAUAUUUUUGUUGGAUAUAAUAUUAUAUUAUCUUGGGACUUAGUUAUGUUUGUGAUUUUGACUGUUAUGUUUGAAUAUGUUCAAAUUGUGGUUCUAAACAGAUUUGAGUUGAAGCAUAUAGAGUAGGAAACAAUUGAAAACUACUGCAUUUUUAGCCCCCCAAAAAGCCUACUACAUUUUUGGUUACUUGUAUUGUAUAGAAUAUAAGUCUACUGACGUUUGACUUCUGCUCUCUUUACAAUUAACAUCGGAGGACUCGUCUAGGCUCAUACUUACAAAAAGACCAAACAUACAUGAUCAACUAAUCACGUAAUC